rnacentral:tRNA from 1 species
GCCCGGGUGGUGGAAUUGGUAGACACAAGGGACUUAAAAUCCCUUGGAGCUUUGCUCCGUGCGAGUUCGAGUCUCGCCCCGGGCA